UUUUUUUUUUUUUCCGGAGCCUCACUCUGUCACCAGGCUGGAGUGCAGUGAUGCGAUCUCGGCUCACUGCAACCUCUGAUUCGCUGGUUCAAGCGGUUCUCCUGCCUCAGCCUCCCGAGUAGCUGGGACUACAGUUGCACGCCACCAUGCCCAGCUAAUUUUUGUAUUUUUAGUAGAGACGGGGUUUCACCAUGUUGGCCAGGAUGGUCUCGAUCUCUUGACAUCGUGAUCCGCCCGCCUCGGCCUCCCAAAGUGCUGGGAUUACAGGCGUGAGCCACUGCGCCCGGCCGCCAUGUUGUUUUUGAUUAUAAAAGAAAUACGUAAUCAAAUGAAUUUGAAAAGUACAGAAAAGUACAAGUGUACACUCAAUGCUACUCCCCAGAAAUCUCCCUGCUAGAUUUUUGGUGUAUUCCCUUCCAAUAUUUUCAUUCCUUUUCUGACCCAUCAAACUUCUGUUCAUCCCAUGCUUGAGUUUCAGCUCUCUGUAUGCAGAAACCCAGAAGCAAGCGGCACAGUGCUUAAGCACACAGGAUCUGCAGACGGGUCCGCCUGGGUGCUGAUUCCACCUCUGCCUGGAUCGGGAGUGAGACCCUACACAGAUUAGUUCCUUGAUCUUGCUGGGCAUUGGUUUAUGUCUAAAUGAGCUAGAAUUUUCUACCAUAAGGGCAGGAAUCCUGUCUUCUUUAUCCCCCACUAUAUUCUCAGCUCCUUGAAAACUGCCUGCAGUUACUGUCACAGCCCAGAUUAUGCCACGGAACCAUUGUGGUGAGGACUCUGUGGUCUCCACCCCUGAACACUGGACGAAAGUCACUCCUCUCCCGAAACUGGUUGCUGCAGCCACUACCAGAAUGGAGUCUCCACUGUCUGGGCAGGAGCAUCUGACUGGCUGAGCUGAGGUCACAUGCCAGGUGAACAAAAAAGGAGGUGCCCUCUGCAGCCAGGGACAGAGUGUCAGCAUGAACCAUCAUUGUUUGAAGAUGGGAAAUCUGCCAGGUUCAUCAGUUCAUUUGCCUCUGUAACAUGAGAGAAGACACAAACAAGGUUGGAUUCUGAGUCUCCUAUUUCUGGCAAAGUAAAAUGUCAGUUUAUAAACCUUCCAAAAAUGAUAGAUGCUGAUCUGAAUACCAUUUCCUGUGAUGGUCAAUCAGCAGGAAAGGCCUUGAGAGAUUCAAGGUACGUUACUUACAGACAACCUCUUAAGACCCCUUU